GAUGAAGAACGCAGUGAAAUGCGAUAAGUAAUGUGAAUUGCAGAAUUCAGUGAAUCAUCGAAUCUUUGAACGCACCUUGCACCCUUUGGCAUUCCGAAGGGUAUGCUCGUUUGAGUGUCAUUGUACUCUCACACUUCUGAUCCUUUGGAUUGGGAGCGGUGGACUUGGGUGUUGCUGCUUUACUGUGGCUCACCUCAAAUGCAUUCGUGCAACUCUUGGUUGGACAUAGUACGGCGUGAUAAGUAUCUUCGCCGGCACCUCGCAAGAGGGUGGCUGAUCAGGAGCUCUGUGCUUUCCAACUGUCUUCAGACAACAACUGACAACUUGACCUCAAAUCGAGUAGGACCACCCGCUGAACUUAAGCAUAUCAAUAAGCGGAGGA
rnacentral:misc_RNA from 1 species